AUGAAAGACAACAAGAUGAUCACACUCUUCUACAUGACCUUUAAUAUUGUACUGGUCUCAGGUCUCUGCCAGCAUGUGACCCAGUUACCUGCAACCAGCUGGAGUUACGUGUCCAAAUCUGCAGAGAUGAACUGCAGCCACAACAGAGACGCUAGUCAUAACCAGAUGUACUGGUUCAGGCAGCGCCAUGGGGAGACCAUGACCCUCAUUGUCUCCGCAUUUUAUGGAGUGGACCCAGACUACGGCAGGAGCCCUGCAGACAAAUAUUCAGCCGUCAGACCGAACUUCAAGAGCGGGUCUCUUACUGUGAAGAACGUGCAGCCUGAGGACAGCGCUGUGUAUUUCUGUGCUGUGUUUACCUCUGCGAAGAAGAACAAGUGUGUCAGAUGCCAGCUGAGCUGCUUGUGA